CCGGGAAUCGUGCGCAAUGGACGAAAGUCUGACGCCGCGACGUCGCGUGAAGGAUGAAGGCGGUUUCGUUGUAAACUUCUUUUGCCAUAUGGGUGACCAUAUGGAGAAUAAGCACCUGCUAACUCUGUGCCAGCAGCCGCGGUAAUACAGAGGGUGCAAGCGUUAUCCGGAUUUAUUGGGCGUAAAGCGUUUCGUAGGCUGUUUUGUAAGUUAUGUUUCAAAGACCACGGCUCAACCGGGGAAAGGGACGUAAUACUGCAAGACUAGAGAAUUUUAGGGGCAAUCGGAACUGGUGGUGUAGGGGUGAAAUCCGUUGAUAUCAACAGGAACGUCAAGGGCGUAGGCAGAUUGCUGGGAAAUAUCUGACGCUGAGGAACGACAGCUAAGGGAGCGAAAGGGA
rnacentral:rRNA from 1 species